UAUACUAUCACCAGGCCAGAAGAGAGUUAAGGGGUGGGCAGUAGGCACAGACAGCAGGCCUCAACAUUUUGGCGUUCCUUUCAUUUCACUUCAUUGGUACAUUUGAACUGAAUCCACAAGGAAUCUAAGAAGCUAAGCCAGAUAUUGAGCAGUCAAAGUCUGAAACCCAAAAGAGGUCCAGCUAGGACAACAGUGCUCAAGCAGAGGUGAAUAUUGUUCUUUUCUUUUCCUACCAUAAUGCCAUUUAUCCAGCUCCUUUCUCUACAGUUGAUGUCCUCUGCAUAGUUACAUUUAAUGAGACUCUGAAUAUUAACUGUAUAACAGCAGUUUGAAUUGCUACUAAAUUUAGCUGUUUUGUAGUUAUAUACAAUGCAAAACGCCCUAGAAAUCAAGUGUUCCUACAACAAAAACACAGGAGACUGUGGUGCUGCUUCUCCAUUGGUUAAGACCAUAAAUUUCUGGAGGGACUUUUGAGCUUUUACAUUCCCUCCCCCUCUUUCUUCAGGCUCAUCUCCCUUUUGAGCUUCAGACAAGCCCACAUUUGCAGAAUGUUUUAAAGGGAUUUUAAAAAUUUUUCCAACUCUUGCUGUUUGGAAAGGAGCAUUUUGAGUUUCUGAGAGGCUCACAUUUGAGGCUCCCUGCAGCUUUAGGUUCUGCUGCCGAAGUCUGACACUCUGCUGCAUUUCCUUGAGCAGGAGUUUCCCCCAUGGGUGGGGGAGGACACACCUGUGGAGCAAGCUUUCACCUCACCCAGGUGAAGCAAGCCAGGCUCACCUCUCCCACUUGACGUGACAGGACACAGAAAAGCUGGCCUUCUGAAUGGCUGAACAGCCAAGGGCUUCCAGGGUCUCUACUUGCUGUCCUGGUGUGGGUGAGGGAGGGCCUUGAGUAUUUUGACAAAGUUCUGUCCUCUUAGGUGUUGCUCAGCCCCAACCAUCCUGUUGUCUCCUCUGUCCUCAGCUCCUGUGGCCAGCUGGGCUGCUAACCUGGUUCAGUCCCAACAGCGUGUGGGCCCCUCGAGUCCACAUUCUCAGCCUCAUGACAGCAUCUCCUCCUGGGCUCCUCGGGGAGUUUCCUACCCCAGUGACUGUCCAGCCACCCCACAGCCUCUCCUCACUCACCACUUGCUUCCCUUCUAAGGCCCCCUGUUCUCAGUAUCUCCCUUUCAGUCCUUCCUCAAGGCUCCACGAGGCCACUGAUCCCUGGGGUGUAGCGGUGGCCUCCUCUGCAGUGCCUCUGGUCUGCCCCUGUUCCCUCCUUAUGUGUUCUUCACCUAAGGACUUGAAUGAUGCUUCUGAAACGUGCCAACAGUGAUACCAUCGUUUAUUGUUGCCAUUACAGCUAUGACUUGUGAAGCAUUUACCGUAUAAUAAUUAAUCCUGUCCAGGGCUCUUUAGAGGUAAAAUACUUCCCAGAAGCUCUCCAAAAACCUAGGGAGAAGACAUUCAUUAUCCUCACUACACAGAUAUGGAAACCCAGGCACAGAGAAGUGAAGUAUCUUGUCUGGGGUCACCCAGCCACUGAAAAGAAAUGCUUAUUCAAAUGUUAUUCUCUAGUUUAGAACUCUUCAACGAGUCCCUAAAUCUUGACUUUGGGACAAAAUGCACACAUUUAGUUUGGCCACUGGACUCUUUAUGGCCCAGGCUGUGCCUCUCUUUGCAGAUUCAUUACCAUGCUCUGCCUGCCCGCUUAGGCUUGAGGCCUACAGAGCAGCCAGCAGCUCCUCAAAAUGCCCAUGCUCCCCAUGCCCUGUCUUGAUUCAAGUGAUUUCUCCCCGAUCCAGGCUGCGUACCAGACACUUCACUGCUGCUUCACUGUAUUAGGGUAUGACUUGAGGAGCAGGGAGGCCCUCAGAGCCUGGGAGCAGCUCUCCUGGAACAACAGAGAGCACAGAGGCAGGAAGUGCCUGCUCACUGGCCCCUGGGUUCUGCGUCGUUGCACCAGGGUGGGCUGUGAUGCAGUACAAAGUCCCAGGGGCCAUCAUCUUCUACACCCUCAGUCUUGGCUGGUCCCUCCUGUGGGGCAGGAUUCCACCCCUCCAGCCCCUUCACAGGCCCCUCCUUUGGACUUCUGUCUCCCCCAGACCAUUUCCCACCUUGCCUUUGGUGGCUAGAAGGCCUGCUUGGGUCUUAAUUCAGCUCUACAACUGUCUCGGACUUCCCAUUCCCUCUUUUAAAAUGUGGAAGUUAGUGUUGCUCCCCUCAGCUCACUGGGCAAGGAGUACCAGGGGAGAAGACGUGGUACUGUGACCAGUAGGACUUGAAGCACUUUGCUUCCUGAGGAAUAAGGGCAAGGGGGAAGCCCCUGCCAGACACCUGACAUUCAGGAGCAAUUCUGACCCUGACCAGCAGCUCUGUCCCCGCUCCCACAGCAUGGUCCAUGGGCUCAUGGGAGGCCACAUGCCUGGCACUGAUGCUGGAGACCAGCAGCUUCAGAGACACCCAGGCCCACAAUAGCACCCCUGCCGCACACACACCCUUCUUUGCCUGACCCUCUGCUGAGCAGGGCUAGACCCUCACACUGGGGCUCGCAAGGGAGGGCAGGAAAAGACUUUGAAUUAGUUUAUGCAAAGAGUGCUGAUUUUGCAUAUGCCAUUCCAUCUUCCUUCCUGGCUGGUAAGACCAGCUCCUUCUUGGAGCUUUCUCUCUUUCGUUCCUCACCUGGCUCACUUUACUCACCCUUUAAAAUGCAGCCUGCUUGUCCCCCACUUCACCAACUCUUCUCUGGUGUGAAUUUUAAAACCAGUUCCUGCUAUGAGACAUAGAAUUUUGAGUGCCUCUCUGUGUGCCUGCCUCUCUUGUUACAAGGCCAACUUCAUGAAAGCAAGACCUGAGUCCCUUACUGCACAUACCCCAGCACCAUGCAGGUUCAUUCGUGCAUUUGACAAAUACCUUUAGAUUGCCAACCGUGUGUCAGGCAUCAGUGUUACACUGGUAAAGAAACAGUGUUAUUUUUGUUGUCUGAGGUGGCAAACCUUGAGGGCACCAAUGAUCUUUGCCUCCCGAUGUUUGUAUCUUUAUGUGGCUUCCUUCCCUCUAAAUUGGGAUUGGUCUGUGUGACCAGUAGAAUGUGGAGGGAGUUAUAAUACCCACUCGAUUGUUGUACGGCAGAAGACCAAAUUAUAAAGGCACUGAGAGAUUUUUUCAUGGCCUCUUUGAUUGCUGGCUGGCUCUAAGGGAAGACAGCUGCCACAUCAUACAGAUAGCUGAGACAGCCUUGAGGAAGGUCCACACGGAAAGCACCCACCUUCGUGGCAGCUGCCAGGGGUGUUAGGGAGCCACCUUGAAAAUGGAUCCAGCAGGCUCUGCCAAGCCUUCUCCAACUGAAACCUGAGGUCCAGCCCCACAAGAAACCCUGAGCCAGAGCUGCCCAACUGACGCUCUGUUAAAUUCUGGAUCUAAAGAUGCUUUGAGUGUUGCUGAAACAGUAAGUGUUGGGGUGGUUGGUUGUACAGCAAGAGAUCAUCUUAUUGUGGUGGAGCUCACAUGGUAGUGAAGAGACCAAAGAAAUACAAUUUGUCCACUUAUUCCACACCACCAGGUGUUAUCUAGGUACUGAGAUGACACUGAUGUUUUAGAGGAUAAAUAAACUCUGUGAUAUUAGGUCGGAAAUGCUAAGAAUAAAAGAAAACUGAGCAAGUUGGUUAAAAGGGAGAGAAUUGCAAUGUACGUUGCUUAUUUUAUGCUAAGCAGUUUCAUAUUUAUCUCAAUACUCUAAAAUCUUUUGACAUUGGUAGUUUAUCUCUAUUUUAUAAUAUGGAAAAGCUAAAAGCCAGAAAAGUUAAAAAAAAAAAAAAAAAGCACCAAAGUGACACAGUUGGGAUUUAGCACAGCCAGUUUCCCAGACCACCUGGGGAAAAUGUGCUUUGUCAUACAGCAGAUUAACCACUGGGCUACAAUGGCUGCCCUCACCCUGAGGCUCCUGUUCACCAGAGCCUGUACUUGGCACUGGCUACACGCCUGUAACACACUGGCAAUGAAGGCAUGGAAAUGACCUUUGGGUGGGAAGGUUACAGAGUGGGCCAGGUCUCUAGUUUCUCUUAAAUUUAGAAAAUACCUGGUUUCGUGUGGACCCGCCUGUGGGCUGAAAAUAUCCAUGGAGGCUCCCUAAGAACUGGCUUCUUUAGUUGUUUAUUAACAGCAGUACCUCCUCCACCAGCCCCUGCUCCGGACUUUCCUCCCUGCCUCUCUGGUCCGCUCCAUUUGUUCUACACGGAAGGAACUGUCGUUCAAGCCAUGCUUACCUCACUGCUUCCCCCAGCCAUCUGCACUGUCCUGGAGCUUCUUGUUUUGCCUAACUUCCUUGUGUGCAGACCACUAGAUGGAGAUAUACAAAUACUUUACCGGAGGCUUAUGAUGUGCCGGGCACCAUUCUAAGUACUUGGCCUCAUGAUUUUUAUUGAAUCUUCACCACAGUCCUUUGUCGAGGUCCCAUUAUUUUCCUUGUUGAGGUUAAGCUUCAAGGUCAUUCAGCCUCUGGCUGGCAGAGCCCAGACUCAAACCUAGAUCUCUCAGAAUUCAGUCUUGGUUUAUUAGCCAAGGUCACAGAGUGGGGAGAACUUUGAAGAUAAGUGAUUUGCCAAGGUUAUCUUUUCUAUUCCUUUACCCUUGGACAGGGCUGAAUCCAGAUUAUCUCCAGAAGGUUAGAACUGGACAUCUUCAAUUAGUGCUUGUGAAAAGAAGAGAACAACUCAACACCAGCCCUUAAACACAUCACAACUAAUACGCGGAUUUUCGGGCCUAACAUCCUUGUCAACAUCUAAUCCAGGUCAUUCAGCGCCGACUCUGUGCUAGCCCUGUGCUGUGAUAAAUUUCACAUACAUGAGUGUGGAAGUACAGGGGGGCAGCAGACAGACUGGGAGUCCAGUGUCUACAAGGUGAUGUUUGUCAGAACCCUGAAAGUCUCCGGGCAGCACAGAGGGGCUUCCAGACAGACUGGAUGACACGUGUGAAGUCAAGGGUAUGACUGAAAAACAGCUUGUCUCAGCAUCUGGUGGAGCCUUGGAGAAGAGCUGGAGAAGGGUAAACAAUGAGAUUCAGAGGUGCGCAGGAGCUCCCUACCUGGAAAAAGUGUGGGAUGACUGAAGGGUUUUAUGAAACGUUCUGAUACAAUCAGAUUUGCACAGUCAAAAGCUUAUUCCACCAGCAGUACAGAUGAUACAUGGGAAAGCCCAAUUAGGGAGGAUACUGAAAUGGUUAGGCAAGAGACGAUUACUAGGGAAGAAAAGAGAGGUGCCUAAGAUAUGUGGGAGAGAUUUAUGAGCAGACAAGUCCAAACUUGGCAACUGCUUGGGUGUGGAGAGAGCAAAGAAGAAGGCAUGGGAGCUGAUUCACCUAGUUCCUGGCUGGGGAUGUGGCUGGAUGGCGGCACUCUGUGACGAGCUGGGAAGCAGGUUGAGGAGAGAGACGCUGACAUCUUCUGGCGCCAGGUUCCACAGGGUAACCUCUACCACAGACGAGUGAAUGAAGACUUAAGAUGGUGACACGACUUGCUCAAAGUCACACUGGCCACAGUUGCACAAGGAGGGAGACGCAAACCUACAUCUUAGCAAGUUUUGUGUAGUAUCCAGGAAGAGGUUCCACAAUUAUCUCAACAGGGUAUUAAUGUCUCUCCUUUUCACAACUACCUCACUGCAUGAGCCUGCAUGGUUCCAGCUAAAGAAACACUGGAAUAGAUGAAGUGCAAAAGCAGGCUGAAAACUCUGUCUUCAAUUAAGCCAGGUGUUAAAGAAGCAAAGAUAUAAGAGUGAGGAGGGUUCAUAUAUUAAAUUUUUACUUUUAAAUAAACAACUAAACAUUUAA